rnacentral:rRNA from 1 species
UACGGAGGGGACUAGCGUUGUUCGGAAUUACUGGGCGUAAAGCGCACGUAGGCGGACCGAAAAGUUGGAGGUGAAAUCCCAGGGCUCAACCUUGGAACUGCCUUCAAAACUGCCGGUCUAGAGUUCGAGAGAGGUGAGUGGAAUUCCGAGUGUAGAGGUGAAAUUCGUAGAUAUUCGGAGGAACACCAGUGGCGAAGGCGGCUCACUGGCUCGAUACUGACGCUGAGGUGCGAAAGCGUGGGGAGCAAACAGG